CCUACGGGGGGCUGCAGUGGGGAAUAUUGGAUAAUGGGCGAAAGCCUGAUCCAGCCAUGCCGCGUGUGUGAAGAAGGCCUUCGGGUUGUAAAGCACUUUCAGUGGGGAAGAAAGCCUUGGGGCUAAUACCCUCGAGGAAGGACAUCACCCACAGAAGAAGCACCGGCUAACUCCGUGCCAGCAGCCGCGGUAAUACGGAGGGUGCGAGCGUUAAUCGGAAUUACUGGGCGUAAAGCGCGCGUAGGCGGUCUGAUAAGCCGGUUGUGAAAGCCCCGGGCUCAACCUGGGAACGGCAUCCGGAACUGUCAGGCUAGAGUGCAGGAGAGGAAGGUAGAAUUCCCGGUGUAGCGGUGAAAUGCGUAGAGAUCGGGAGGAAUACCAGUGGCGAAGGCGGCCUUCUGGACUGACACUGACGCUGAGGUGCGAAAGCGUGGGUAGCAAACAGGAUUAGAUACCCCGGUAGUC
rnacentral:rRNA from 1 species